rnacentral:rRNA from 1 species
GUAGGGAAUAUUGGGCAAUGGAUGCAAGUCUGACCCAGCCAUCCCGCGUGCCGGAAGAAGGCCCUCAGGGUUGUAAACGGCUUUUGACGGUGAAGAAUCGACAGGAUGCGUCCUGUUUUGACGGUAGCCGUUGAAUAAGCACCGGCUAACUCCGUGCCAGCAGCCGCGGUAAUACGGAGGGUGCGAGCGUUGUCCGGAUUUAUUGGGUUUAAAGGGUGCGUAGGCUGGAAGGUCAGUCAGCGGUGAAAAGCUGUCGCUUAACGAUAGUCUUGGAGCAGAUACUUCGUUUCUUGGAUGAGGAGGAGGCCACUGGAACGGAUGGUGUGGCGGUGAAAUGCAUAGAUAUCAUCCAGAACACCGAUUGCGAAGGCAGGUGGCUGUACCUUAAUCGACGCUGAUGCACGAAAGCAUGGGGAGCAAACAGGAUUAGAUACCCUGGUAGUCC